CUGCCUUGUGUCCAGAACGAAAGGAUUCCUCCAUAGCCAUGUCAUUUCAACAGCGCGGUGGCGAGGAGCAGCGAGGGACCUUCUCCAGCGU
rnacentral:lncRNA from 9 species